ensembl:lncRNA
AUGAAUAGAGGUGGAGAAAGUGUUGUCACACAAUUGUUCAGGCGAGGCGUCUCAGAGACACACAUUUGUUCCUGUCUGUGCCUCAAGGUGCGAUUAUGUGGACUGUGGGGAUCUGAAAGACAUUUCUUCAAAAGCGCUGUGACACUGCUUCUGCUUUGGGUCAGUGCAUCAAGCCACUCGGGCCGCCCAAAGCGCCAGACUCCGCCGCACAGGAAAAUAUAGAUGAGCGAGUGGUGGCGACAGAAAAGUAACGAGCAAGAGAGAAAGAGAGAGCGAAGGAGAGAUCAGUCCUAAUUAAAACAGACUUGUCUAAAAAACCUAAGCUUUCAGAGGUGUUAUUGUGGUUAAUGAGCAAGAUGAGAGCUGCCCAUAUCUAAUGACCAAUGACGCCCCUUUACGCACAAUACAGGUAAACAUUGACGUUUGCCUUCCUCUCUCACAUUUCAUCACUCACUAGAAACAUCACUACUGUAAGUCACACACACAAAAUCCUUCGCUUGCGUUCUCACAAACACUACUGCAGUAAUGAUGAUAAAUGGUAGAGAAUAUUUACCUGACACACACAAACUCAUGCAGGGGUCACCAAACUCGGUCCUGGAGGGCUGGUGUCCUGCAAAGUUUAGCUAAACUCUGCAGAACGUCAACCCUCAGGGAAAGAGUCUGGUGAGCCCUGAACUAAACCCAUUUAAAACUCAGCAAGUUUAGAGAGAUGACUAGGUUUUUUGUUUGUUUGUUUGUUUGUUUUUAUUUGAAGAAAAUGUGAGUGGUGUCUACUUGUGCAAAACUCACUUCCGUGAUUGUCAUGCAGGUGUUUGUUAUUUGUAUGUAAUUUGAUUUAAGUAGUAAUUUUUAAGUAAUUGGGUUUUGAAGUAAUUCCCAGGUCUGGAAAUGUAUGGAAAAAAAGAAAGCAGGGUAUGGAAAAAUAUUAGCAUUUCCAGAUUUUGCCCCAUUUAAUUUUUUGAGUAUGUAAUGUAUUGAGUUUCUUCUCACGAUAUUCUUAGCACCGUAUUACAUAGUCUCAAGGACCUUGUGCAAAAAAUAUGCAGAUGUUUAUGUGAGUACUAGAAACAAUUAAACUUAGCAUAUAAAGGACAAUGCACACUGAGCCACCUGUUGUGCCAUUAGCCUAUUUCACGUUUUCUUGGCCUUCACAGAGUAUACGUUAAAGCAGACCUAAAUCUUUGAAAUAUGAUAUACUGCUCUAACAAAUGCCAAAUUCUGAACACUUUUUUUUUAAGUACCAAUAGAAAUAUAUUAUAUAAAACUAGAAAUUAUAAUGCAUAAACACGCAACGCUUGUGACUAGUUUCUCAAGGACACAACAUUUUUCUUGCCCGCAUGCAAAAGUCUGUUUUUUAUUUAUUUAUUUAUUUAUUUAUUUAUUUAUUUAUUUAUUUAUUUACAGGGGUGCUCUGUAUGUUGUCACUUUGAGAAAAUCCACGCAAAAAAGAUAUUACCAAUGACUUCACCAUGUACCAAAUAUUAAGCUGAAAAUAAAACUGUAUGAACCAUUAAUGUUAAAUAUGGUCUAAAUAGAGGUUUGGAAAUUUUAGUCUAGAAAAGUAUAUAAAUCUGAAAUGUGCAUGAACCCUGUUUUAUACAGGCUCAAGAUAAAAGAACCCACCUACAAAGUUAAUCUGAUUUGAGUUGAGGGUUGGUUGUUACUUUACUGUACAGAAAUAGAGACUAUAAAAUUCCAUUUUAUAGGAAUAGUUCACCCACAAAUUAAAAUUUGCUGAAACUUUACUCACCCUUAGGGCAUUGGAGUAGUUACAUUUGUUUCUUUAUUGGAACAGAUUUGGAGAAAUGUAGCAUUACAUCUCUUGCUCACUAAUGGAUCCUCUAGUGAAUGGGUGCCAUCAAAGUCAUUUAUCAAUAAUAUUGCUUUCUCUAGUGAAAAAGUAAUUUAAUCUGAAUCAGGAGAGAGAUAUAGUAUGCACAGAUCAAGCACUGUUUACAAGAAGAAGAAGAAAGAGGACAACAGGGGAUGGACUAGAUUGAGUGUUUAUGGAUUGUGGACUUCAAUUCUGGCUAUAAUGAUGGUUUAAAGUUAAAACACCUGAAUAAUGGAUUUGUUUAUUUGUUUCUAAACAUGCAGCUUUUCACUUCACACUGUUAAGUUAUGAACUGGAGUGGUGGUGAUUACUUGUGAUUUAUUGUGGUGUUUUUAUCAGCUGUUUACACUCUCAUUCUGACGGCUCCCAUUCAUUGCAGAGGAUUUUCAUUUUUGGGUGAAUUAUUAAUUUAAAUAACGAAAUAAGUAAAAAAGAAAUGUAAAGCAACAUUAUACUAUGGCUUUAGUCAUACGACUGAAUCAAUAUGUAUGUCAUAUUGGAACAAAUAGUAUAAUAAACUAAUGUAUACUUAUUAAAUCAACUAAAUAUCCAAUUCAGUAUUCACACGUUGUCGUAUUUGAAAUAGGUUUCGUGUGUGUUUGUGUGUGUGUGUGUGUGUGUGUUUUGAAAACAAAUGCAAGAGGGAUAAUGCAAAUUGUUGUAGUGUGAAAAAAUAAAUAAAUAAAAACAAAAACAUUGAAAAGGAAAAUUAUUUAAGCUAAAAAAUUUGAAACAUUCAAGGGGAUGAACAAUUUUAACUCAAUUUAAAUUCCCAUCAAAAACAUAAAUACCCAAAGAGGACAGAGAAAUUUAAGCAAAGUUAGUAAUGGUUUAUAAAAAAAAUAAAAUAAAAGAGAGCUCAGUCCAGGGGGUAGUGAAGGCAAAGAGGGAACAAAUCCAAGCAUUCGAGAAGUCCAGCACAGUCACCACUGACCUUGGAUUUCAUCCAGAACUGUAGUUGUAAAGGCAUAAAAAAUGCUCAGUACUUAACCAAGUGCCUUGUCAAAGGCCCAUUUGUGUAUUUGGGAGUCUGACAUGACCAGAGAUCAUGGGAACAGGAUAUGGCAGUUAUUGCAUAUGGUUGUGGUCCUGAUCUCCAUGCUCAUGCAAUCAUGUAGGGUAUCAUGUAGGGGUGCCAAAGAACACACUAGUAAACUCUCUGAUUGACUUGUCACCCUGGUUGGCUUUGCUUUCAUAUAGCUCUUAUAGCCCCUUUCACACUGCACGUCCAACCCGGCAUAUUGCCAGAACAUUGCCGCGUUCGACCCGGGACGAGCGCUGUGUGAACAAAAGCCAGAUCUAAUGCCGGGUCGAAGUGAUGAUGCGCGUUAUCGCACAACUCUUUUACCGGCUGAUUUGAAGGAAGAUCUUCGUUCGCGACGAAAAUAAAUGUGCAAACUGUAAUGAAGCAGAGAUCAGUUGGUUCCUCACUUUCCGCACUGAUGCCGAGAUCGUU